rnacentral:rRNA from 1 species
GAGGUGGGGAUGACGUCAAAUCAUCAUGCCCCUUAUGACCUGGGCUACACACGUGCUACAAUGGGCGGUACAAAGGGUCGCGAACCCGCGAGGGGGAGCCAAUCCCAAAAAGCCGCUCUCAGUUCGGAUUGCAGGCUGCAACUCGCCUGCAUGAAGCCGGAAUCGCUAGUAAUCGCGGAUCAGCAUGCCGCGGUGAAUACGUUCCCGGGCCUU